UAGGGAAUCUCCCACAAUGGGCGCAAGCCUGAUGGAGCAACACCGCGUGAGUGAAGAAGGGUUUCGGCUCGUAAAGCUCUGUUGUUAAAGAAGAACACGUAUGAGAGUAACUGUUCAUACGUUGACGGUAUUUAACCAGAAAGUCACGGCUAACUACGUGUCAG
rnacentral:rRNA from 1 species